AGUGAACGCUGGCGGUAGGCCUAACACAUGCAAGUCGAACGGCAGCACAGUAAGAGCUUGCUCUUACGGGUGGCGAGUGGCGGACGGGUGAGGAAUACAUCGGAAUCUACUUUUUCGUGGGGGAUAACGUAGGGAAACUUACGCUAAUACCGCAUACGACCUACGGGUGAAAGCAGGGGAUCUUCGGACCUUGCGCGAUUGAAUGAGCCGAUGUCGGAUUAGCUAGUUGGCGGGGUAAAGGCCCACCAAGGCGACGAUCCGUAGCUGGUCUGAGAGGAUGAUCAGCCACACUGGAACUGAGACACGGUCCAGACUCCUACGGGAGGCAGCAGUGGGGAAUAUUGGACAAUGGGCGCAAGCCUGAUCCAGCCAUACCGCGUGGGUGAAGAAGGCCUGCGGGUGGUAAAGCCCUUUUGUUGGGAAAGAAAAGCAGCAGGUUAAUACCCCGCUGUUCUGACGGUACCCAAAGAAUAAGCACCGGCUAACUUCGU
rnacentral:rRNA from 1 species